rnacentral:rRNA from 1 species
UGGGGAAUCUUCCGCAAUGGACGAAAGUCUGACGGAGCAACGCCGCGUGAGUGAAGACGGCCUUCGGGUUGUAAAGCUCUGUGAUUCGGGACGAAAGGCCAUAUGUGAAUAAUAUAUGGAAAUGACGGUACCGAAAAAGCAAGCCACGGCUAACUACGUGCCAGCAGCCGCGGUAAUACGAAGGGGGCUAGCGUUGUUCGGAUUUACUGGGCGUAAAGCGCACGUAGGCGGACUUUUAAGUCAGGGGUGAAAUCCCGGGGCUCAACCCCGGAACUGCCUUUGAUACUGGAAGUCUUGAGUAUGGUAGAGGUGAGUGGAAUUCCGAGUGUAGAGGUGAAAUUCGUAGAUAUUCGGAGGAACACCAGUGGCGAAGGCGGCUCACUGGACCAUUACUGACGCUGAGGUGCGAAAGCGUGGGGAGCAAACAGG